AACGAACGCUGGCGGCAGGCUUAACACAUGCAAGUCGAACGCCCCGCAAGGGGAGUGGCAGACGGGUGAGUAACGCGUGGGAACAUACCCUUUCCUGCGGAAUAGCUCUGGGAAACUGGAAUUAAUACCGCAUACGCCCUACGGGGGAAAGAUUUAUCGGGGAAGGAUUGGCCCGCGUUGGAUUAGCUAGUUGGUGGGGUAAAGACCUACCAAGGCGACGAUCCGUAGCUGGUCUGAGAGGAUGAUCAGCCACAUUGGGACUGAGACACGGCCCAAACUCCUACGGGAGGCAGCAGUGGGGAAUAUUGGACAAUGGGCGCAAGCCUGAUCCAGCCGUGCCGCGUGAGUGAUGAAGGCCUUAGGGUUGUAAAGCUCUUUCACCGAUGAAGACAAUGACGGUAGUCGGAGAAGAAGCCCCGGCUAACUUCGUGCCAGCAGCCGCCGUAACAC
rnacentral:rRNA from 1 species